rnacentral:rRNA from 1 species
UACGGGGGGAGCUAGCGUUGUUCGGAAUUACUGGGCGUAAAGGGCGCGCAGGCGGUUGGAUAAGUGAGUGGUGAAAACCCCGGGCUUAACUCGGGGCCGGCCAUUCAGACUGUCUGGCUGGAGUGUGGGAGAGGGAAGUGGAAUUCCUGGUGUAGCGGUGAAAUGCGUAGAUAUCAGGAGGAACACCGGUGGCGAAGGCGGCUUCCUGGACCACAACUGACGCUGAGGCGCGAAAGCCAGGGGAGCAAAC